rnacentral:lncRNA from 1 species
GGUGGAUCGGCAAUGGCUAGAAGACCGGUGACGUCGACCGCCGAACGCCGCCCGAACAAGGAGAGGAACCAACUUCGCCGGAAGUCGUGACAGAGGAAAACAUACAUCACAGCUGGCGUCUGCAGCCAGAACCAACACGAUCCAUCCGUCUGGGACUCCACUUCACGGGAUUGGCUGGACCACCGCCCAGGGUCAAAGCAUCCCUCACUUCUCUCUUCUUCUCUCUUCUGCUUCGCCUCGGAGAGAGUGGUUCUCUAACAAAGACCUCAGCGGCCGCCGGCCAACUCUGACCCUUCCCCAUCAUGGCACUCCAUUGGCUCUCCGCUGUGCUGCUGAAAGAACCCUCCGCGUCCAGACACUGACAUUUGAUUCUGCAGGAAUUACUGAGCAGGGUCUCCUAAGAUUCAACAGAGAAAGCAUCAAGGUAACGAGUUCAUGUUUUCAUAUAUUCUUGUGCCUGGAAUUGAACACUGAGUCUACUGUGCACAAUUGUGUGGGAUAUACUAUUGCGUAACACCCAACGCUAUUCCUAUGAAUUAUUCUGUAUAUAAUGACAUCAAAUUACAUAAUGGGCUUCUUCACAGUAUGAUCUGGUAAUUAAAUAUCAUGACAUAUACAUUCAUUUUGGUUUCCAUGUGGUACCAGCAAUUUUAAACAAUACAACAAUACACCACGUGCAGUUAUUAUGAGGACGACAACAUCUAAUGCUGGCUUCAACUUGGCUUUCUAUACAAAGCCUUCCAUUACAAAAGGAAC